ACCUCAAACUAUUUUGUGUGAAGUAGAUGAGGCUGUAUCAAGUGUGUAUCAACUCUUGCUUUUCAUAGCGUGAGCUGUGCUGGGCCUAGCAGGACUAUGGAAGAUGAGCAGGGGAGUCGGAAGAUGGCACAAGCUCCUCACUUCAUACCACUUGAGUCUAGUCCCCAUUUGGCCACACCUUUGGGUACUCGGAAGCACUUGACUGGCAUUCGGAUUCGGCCAAACUUCCUCUCAUGAAUUCCAGGUCUGGUGAUUCUAGUGGCUCCGGUUUGGUAAGAUGGUUCUGUGAUUAUUACAUGAAAUGCACAUGACACGUACAUUAGUAUAGUUUGUUUUGUUUUGGCAUUUGCACACCUCACGGCUUUGAAUAAAGUACGUUUACACACAUC